rnacentral:rRNA from 1 species
AUUUAUUGGAGAGUUUGAUCCUGGCUCAGGACGAACGCUGGCGGCGUGCCUAAUACAUGCAAGUCGAGCGGACAGAGAUGAGAGCUUGCUCUUAUCAAAGUUAGCGGCGGACGGGUGAGUAACACGUGGGCAACCUGCCUGUAAGACUGGGAUAACUUCGGGAAACCGAAGCUAAUACCAGAUAACAGUAGAGAGUGCAUACUUUCUAUUUAAAAGAUGCUACGGCAUCACUUACAGAUGGGCCCGCGUCGCAUUAGCUAGUUGGUGAGGUAACGGCUCACCAAGGCAACGAUGCGUAGCCGACCUGAGAGGGUGAUCGGCCACACUGGAACUGAGACACGGUCCAGACUCCUACGGGAGGCAGCAGUAGGGAAUCUUCCGCAAUGGGCGAAAGCCUGACGGAGCAACGCCGCGUGAGCGAAGAAGG